AGCAGCCGCGGUAAUUCCAGCUCCAAUAGCGUAUAUUAAAGUUGUUGCAGUUAAAAAGCUCGUAGUUGAAUUUCGGGAUCAGUACGCUGGUCGUGCCUUUGGUAUGUACUGGUGUCACUGAUUCCUCCCUUCUGAAGAACCGUUAUGCCAUUUAUUUGGUGUGGCGGGAAAUCAGGACUGUUACUUUGAAAAAAUUAGAGUGUUUAAAGCAGGCUCGCGCUUGAAUACAUUAGCAUGGAAUAAUGAAAUAGGACGUUUGAUCUUAUUUUGUUGGUUUCUAGGAUCGACGUAAUGAUUAAUAGGGAUAGUUGGGGGCAUUAGUAUUCAAUUGUCAGAGGUGAAAUUCUUGGAUUUAUUGAAGACUGACUACUGCGAAAGCAUUUGCCAAGGAUGUUUUCAUUAAUCAAGAACGAAAGUUAGGGGAUCGAAGACGAUCAGAUACCGUCGUAG
rnacentral:rRNA from 1 species